AAACCUUUCCAAUCCCGCAAAGUGUGAUAAGGGAACCCUAAGUGCUCAUCUUUUGCAUGGGCUUUUGCCAAGAGUAAAUAUCUUGGAGAAUAAGUGGUGGGAAAGACUGGUGCCAGCCGCCGCGGUAACACCAGCGCCACGAGUGGCAAUCAUUUUUAUUGGGCCUAAAGCGUCCGUAGCSGGUUUAAUAAAUYUUUUGUGAAAUUGUUGGGCUUAACUUAACAUUGUGCAGGAAACACUGUUAAACUUGGAACCGGGAGGAGUUAGAAGKAUUUCAGGGGGAGCGGUAAAAUGUUAUAAUCCCMGGAAGGACCACCUGUGGSGAAGGSGUCURCCUGAGAACGGAUUCUUACGGUSAGGGACAAAAGCUAGGGGAGCSAUCCGGAUUAGAUACCCGAGUAGKCCUGGCMSYAAACGCUCCGCRCYASGUGUUCGCMWAUUCUUCRYGAAUGUGCARUGUCKAAGCGAAGAGUUAAGCUC
rnacentral:rRNA from 1 species